rnacentral:tRNA from 1 species
GCCGGGAUGGCGGAAUUGGUAGACGCGCCGGAUUCAAAAUCCGGUUCCCGCAAGGGAGUGAGGGUUCGAUCCCCUCUCCGGGCACCA